ensembl:lncRNA
CAGCGGCUUUCCUAGGACAGAACAUCCAACGUCUAGUGGAUUGAAUUUCUGUUAUUGUUCAUCUACUAUGAACAUCUAUUUUUAUCGUCAUUUUAGAAAAUGAAUGAAAUGGCUAAUUUAGGAAAAAGGAAAUAUGUGUUGGAAAGACAUCAGAGGCUCACAAAAUCAAUAGGAAACCAUAAAUUCAGACUCAUUGAAUCAGCCAGUCGGAACCGGAGCAAAUUUUCAUGGUGGCUGUGAAGAACGGUUUCAGUCCUGAUGCGUGUGCUGCCAGGGAGGGUGUUCUCAGCUGGCCCAGCACAGCCCCAGGCCCGUGUCUUCUCUGUACUGGCUCUGGGUUGGAAGACUCCUCCAGAUCCCACGGUAGGAGCCCGGAGCCUCGAUCUGCCUGCUCACCAAAACCACAUUCAGUGGAGAAGAUGUGAUUCCUGAAAGUUUAUUACAAGAGAUUGGAUAUAGGUGACUUCACUGGUAGCGUGGUGGCGAAGACUCCAUGUUCCCUAUGCAAGUGGCCCGGGUUUGAUUGCUGAUCAAGGAGCUCAGAUCCCACAUCCUGAAACUAAAGACCCUGCACACCACAGCAAAGACAAAAUCCUGUGCCACAGUAAGACCAGCACAGCCGAAUAAAUGAAUAAGUAAGAAAUAGUUUCAGUUCAGUUCAGUCGCUCAGUCGUGUCCAACUCUUUCAGCACGCCAGGCCUCCCUGUCCAUCACCAACUCCCGGAGUCCACCCAAACCCAUGUCCAUGAUGGGUGAUGGCAUCCAACCAUCUCAUCCUCUGUCGUCCCCUUCUCCUCCUGCCCUCAAUCUUUCCCAGCAUCAGGGUCUAAGAUAUUAAAUAUAGCUCCCUACGUUAUAUAGUAGGACCUUGUUUACUUAUUUUAUAUAUAGUAGUUUGUAUCUGCUCAGAUGGGCUCCAAAAUCACUGUGGAUGGUGACUGCAGCCAUGAAAUUAAAGACGUUUGCUUCUUGGAAGAAAAGUUAUGACAAAUCUAGACAGUGUAUUAAAAAGCAGAGACAUCACUUUGCCAACAAAGGUCUAUAUAGUCAAAGCUAUAGUUUUUCCAGUAGUCAUGUACAGAUGUGGAAGUUGAACCAUAAAGAAGGCCUAGCAUCAAAGAAUUGAUGCUUUUCAACCGUGGUGUUGGAGAAGACUCAUGAGAGUCCCUUGGACUGCAAGGAGAUCCAACCAGUCAAUCCUAAAGGAAAUUAACCCUGAAUAUUCGAUGGAAGGACUAUUGCUGAAGCUGAAGCCCC